AAAAAAAAAAAAAAAGGGUCAUGCAAACUAUGAAUGAUGAUUUUUGCAUGCGAUUUGCAGUGCUUUGCCAGUCAAUGAAGGUGUAAACACCACAUGAUCUGCGUAUAAAGAACACAUCCAGGUCGACUCAAUUCGCAUCAAGAACAGUGACACCUGUGCUCACGACAGCAACAUCUGGCCACGCGUGUGAACGUGACAGACAACAUCUGCUCGGGGCAGUGCCGGAAAUCAGGGGAGACCCGAAUGCUGCAGCAUGAACACGCACCCAGUUUGCCUGCAGGUGAAGCUGAGAAUGCAGCAGGACUGCAGCAGUCAUGGGUGGAUCCUACUGCAGGAUCAUGUCGCCCUCUAGCAGUCAAAAGUCUCUCUAUACUUCUAAAGUGACACUCAGAAGUCCCCCUCCCUUUAAGCUGAGGGCUAAAUCGUUAUAAGAAUCAUAUGCUGCCUGAAAAGAGCACACUCUCAUUCUUAUUCAUCCGCUCUGAGCUCAGCGCUCCCGCGGUGAGUCACUGCCUACAACAGAUUAAAUAACAUCACCAAAAUCCUCAAGAGAACAGACAGAGCAUGGAGUUAAACAGCAUGUCAACACAUUCAAAGCCCAAGCAUACACACCCUGCAAUCCUAUUGGCCGAGGAAGGAGACCGAACAUUCUGCUGUUUCCAUGGAGCCUAAAAAUAUUUUUCAACCCAAAAUGUGCCGGCAGCCAAUAGGAGCGGAGCACAGGAGUACUCCACAGGACUUAAAAGAACUUGAAUAAAUUAAUCAUGAGUGCAGCACUAGGAAGAGAGACAUGUGACUCAAAAACAAAUUUCAUCUCAAAUGUGGAACCGUUUGACAGGGUAAACCUCACAAGCUUUCUUGAAUGGUUACAAAUGUCUUUUUAUCUCCGGUUAUAAAAAAUAAACAAAAAAAAAACAUACACUCAAAUUAUAGAUAAAUAUGCCAUUGAGGCAAAAGUCCCUUAAGGUUGAGUAUCGCAGUGAUUUGAAAAAACUCUUAAAAACUGGCACAUAAAAUUAAUACAUUUAAUUGGUAAGACUAACACUGUAAUGAUAAUGACAUUAUAAAUGAUAAAUGGUUGUGAAUAUUA